CCUGAACGCUGGCGGCGUGGCUAAGACAUGCAAGUCGUACGGAUGUAGCAAUACAUCAGUGGCGAACGGGUGAGUAAUGUAUCGCUAACGUGCCCCGGACUCUGGGAUAGCCGCCCGAAAGGGCGGGUAAUACCAGAUGAUAUACCUCUGUCGCAUGACAAGAGGUCUCAAAGGUCCGCCGGUCUGGGAGCGGGCGAUAUCGUAUCAGCUAGUUGGUGAGGUAACGGCUCACCAAGGCGACGACGCGUAGCCGGACUGAGAGGUUGGCCGGCCACAUUGGGACUGAGACACUGCCCAGACUCCGUACGGGGGCUGCAGUAACGAAUCUUCCGCAAUGCACGAAGUGUGACGGAGCGACGCCGCGUGUGGGACGAA
rnacentral:rRNA from 1 species